UGGGGAAUUUUCCGCAAUGGGCGAAAGCCUGACGGAGCAAUGCCGCGUGGAGGUGGAAGGCCUACGGGUCGUCAAAUUCUUUUCUCGGAGAAGAAACAAUGACGGUAUCUGAGGAAUAAGCAUCGGCUAACUCUGCGCCAG
rnacentral:rRNA from 1 species